AUGACCGGACUGCGGGACAUGUGACCGUGCCGAUCUAGGUCGUGUGACCCGUCUGGUGUAGUCCUGGAACAAGGGUUUUGCUGCGGAGGGAAACGGCCAGAGACCUCGAUCUAAGACCGGGGUUUGGAGACUGGCGGGCCUCGGAACAGCAGAGCUAGCGGACUUCCGGUCUGGCCCUCUGCUCACGGCCGAGGGCAAGGCGGGUUAGGUCACUUGCUGAGGAAAGAGCUCAAUAUGUCACGUGUUCCUCUCCCAAUGACGUGGACCUCAGUUCCCUCUCCAGUGAAGUGGGCACAGUGUUGCCCGAAAAAGGGUGCUCUGGGGCUUGCCUGAGACGGGACGCGUGGAAAUGCCCUGCCGAAUAUGAAUGGGGCGAUGGCCUCGCGGGACGGAGCAGCCCAGGAAAGCUGACCGUGGGCUGGGUUGUGGAGCGGAGCCCCAGGGCCUCGGCUGACUUAGCGGCCAGUCGUACAUAGUGGGUAUGCGGCGGGCCCGACGCCAGUCGUUGUGGACCACUGACUUGUAAUCUUUACGACCUCAGUGAGGGUCAGAAGUGUCCGCGAGCCCUGUAGGCGAGGAGAGGCCUGGCUGAGGGCGCACAGCCUGGAAGGGGAGAAACUAGAGCUGGACUCUGCUUGACCCACAGACCCUCCGCCAGGUUGCCUUUGCGAGGCAAGAAGCGAAGGUUGGCGAGCCAGCUGGGAGUACCCACCCCCUCCAUGCCUGGUGGAGUCACCCAAGCCCCAGCGACACCCCGGCCUGCCCAAGGUACUGGUGACCCUGGAGGCCGGGGCCCUGGCUUCUCAGUCAGGGUCUCCUCCCCAUGGCGGCAGAGCUGUCUGGCGUUUUGAGCCCUUUACACCAGGGGCAAGAGGGCUGCAGGCCAGAGCCAGCAAAAGAGAAGAAGCAGAGGGAAUGAGAAACCUAGAAGGUGGAACGGGAAGGAGGGAGUGAAAUGGGCAAAGGCCUCCAAAAAAAACAACUUCCGCCUCCUAAGUUUAGUGCAUUUAACUCUAUAAAUAUCUAUUGAACACCUACUGGAUGCCAGGCACUUUUCUAGGCACUGGGCAGCUAGCAUUAAACAGAAGGCAGAAACCCCUGCCUUCAACAAAAUCUAUGCUGUGUUGAAUAAGUGAUACAGGGAAAAGCUAAAGAUGGGGAGAGAGGUGGGAAGGGUAUAGAGGAUGGGAAGAAAUUUACAAAAGAGGCAGGGAGGGCUUUACUGAGAAGGUGACGAUGAAGGAAGUGAAGGAAGGGCAU
ensembl:lncRNA novel transcript